GCCUUCGUAGAAAUCAGCGGUAGAUCGCACUGGCCACGAGUUCUUAAACUCUCUUCCUUGCGGCCACGUGUAUGCGCGGGUUCGAAUCUCGCCGAAGGCA
rnacentral:tRNA from 2 species